AUGUUUCUCACUAUGACAGAGAAGUCGGAGCUGCGUGCGCCGGAGCCCUGCGGCAAUGAUGACUACAUGAGGGUGGUUUCAGUGGUCGGUGCACUUUGGAGGUUGUGUUGGACUAGGUCGGUGCGAGGCUUGCAACUUUCUUCUAUGAAGCUCAUUAGCAAAAUCGAAGCUGCCUUGUCCUCGACGCUUGUGGCCGAUUGUUUGGUAGGUGGUCGACAGGAUUCUCGUGUUUCAUUCGUUCGGAGGGGUCUCAACGGGUUGCCAGCAGUGGAGUCGAAGUUGCUUGCUCGAGAAGAGGUGAUGACGAUGACAUGGCUGUCAUCCUUGACGGUUUCUCUCCUCGGCGGGGUUCAUGUGGGUCUUGUGGGUAGUCAGGUUAAUCAGGUACCCUAUCAUAUGGGCGUGUUGUAA
rnacentral:rRNA from 1 species